rnacentral:rRNA from 1 species
AUUCAACGCCGGAAAUCUCACCGGGGCGACAGCAAUAUGAAGGUCAGGCUGAAGACCUUACCCGAUUAGCUGAGAGGUGGUGCAUGGCCGUCGUCAGUUCGUACUGUGAAGCAUCCUGUUAAGUCAGGCAACGAGCGAGACCCACGUCCACAGUUGCCAGCAUACCCUCCGGGGUGAUGGGUACACUGUGGAGACCGCCGCUGCUAAAGCGGAGGAAGGAGUGGGCAACGGUAGGUCAGUAUGCCCCGAAUCUCCCGGGCUACACGCGGGCUACAAUGGUUGGUACAAUGGGCAUCUACCCCGAAAGGGGAAGGAAAUCUCUUAAAGCCAAUCGUAGUUCGGAUUGAGGGCUGCAACUCGCCCUCAUGAAGCUGGAAUCCGUAGUAAUCGCGUUUCAACAGAACGCGGUGAAUACGUCCCUGCUCCUU